rnacentral:rRNA from 1 species
GAUGAACGCUGGCGGCGUGCCUAAUACAUGCAAGUCGAGCGAACAGAUAAGGAGCUUGCUCCUUUGACGUUAGCGGCGGACGGGUGAGUAACACGUGGGUAACCUACCUAUAAGACUGGGAUAACUUCGGGAAACCGGAGCUAAUACCGGAUAAUAUUUCGAACCGCAUGGUUCGAUAGUGAAAGAUGGUUUUGCUAUCACUUAUAGAUGGACCCGCGCCGUAUUAGCUAGUUGGUAAGGUAACGGCUUACCAAGGCGACGAUACGUAGCCGACCUGAGAGGGUGAUCGGCCACACUGGAACUGAGACACGGUCCAGACUCCUACGGGAGGCAGCAGAAGGGAAUCUUCCGCAAUGGGCGAAAGCCUGACGGAGCAACGCCGCGUGAGUGAUGAAGGUCUUCGGAUCGUAAAACUCUGUUAUUAGGGAAGAACAUACGUGUAAGUAACUGUGCACGUCUUGACGGUACCUAAUCAGAAAGCCACGGCUAACUACGUG